rnacentral:rRNA from 1 species
CUGCUGCCUCCCGUAGGAGUUUGGUCCGUGUCUCAGUACCAAUGUGGGGGGUUGACCUCUCAGUCCCCCUAUGUAUCGUCGCCUUGGUGAGCCGUUACCUCACCAACUAGCUAAUACAACGCAUGUCCAUCUCUGACGACCUGAGUUUUCAACCACCGAAGAUGCCUCCGGUGAUGUUAUGGGGUAUUAGUACCAAUUUCUCGAUGUUAUCCCCCUGUCAAAGGUAGGUUACAUACGCGUUACGCACCCGUCGCCGGUCGCCGGC